UCCGCACACCUGGGUGAAGAACGCUGAAACGCUCUGGAUGAAGUCGCACUGAAGAUGGAGUGGAGCAUCAGCCCACCACAGCAGACGCCUGGACGCCAAACUCUUCAAAGACCAUCGACUUGGAUAUUGAAGGGAGGUGUUCAGCUGCAGUGUUGGACGUGGUAACUGAUUUCAGGGAGGAUCUGUUGCUUCACCACCUCAAAAGACCUUUCCCUCCCAUCCAGCCUGGGAAGUUAAGGCAGUCAUCCUCGGGCAGCAGUCGCCGCCUUGCAGAGCAGCUUCCUGUCAUACUGUGAUCUGUAGACCAACGUCGUGCCAACCUGUCCCAGAAGACCCUUGCUGAAGCUAUGGUGGACGUGAAUUGUGAAUACUCCUGAUGACUCGGAUGGGCUGCUGCUACUGAGUAAACAGAGGCAGGGAUGAAGAUGGAUGCCAUGUGGAGCUGCUGCACCGUAUCCUGUCCUCUCCAUUUGUUACACAAGAGACUGCAGAGGAGGCGGGUUAUGCAGCAAGACCUCCACAGUGGGCGAGAAGGUCAAAGGUCAGCUGUUACUCCUGACUGACACCUGGAUGUAGAACAAACACUAAAAUGAAAACAUUUUGAACCCUA